UACUGGGGUUACAGGCAUGAGCCACUGUACCUGGCACAAUGAUGGUGUUAAUUUGUGGUAUGCUAACAUUCUUGGACUACAGGUGAGUGCUUCUACUUAUUCCAUCUCCCUGCUGUCAUUCCCAUCAACCCCAGUCACCCACAAUCAAAUGUACAAGGUCUAUUCCCUUGCACUGUCAAAGUGUCAUGUGCACACAUUAACUACACACCAUCUCUGCCCUGCUCGGUGGCACCUGACACACACCUAUGUACACAUCUAGUCUCUACUGCAUGUGGUACUCUGUAGCAUGCUGCCACCACACCAUUUCCUGCUGCUCUUCCAGGAACAAGCACCCAAAUACCACCAUCUCUGUCACUACAAACAACACUGAGAACAGUUGUAUAUAAGUACCCUUAUUUACCUCUAGGACAAAUUUUCUUACUCUCAGGCAUAGAACGGGUUAACUUGACUAAGUUAUACCAGACAGUUCUCCGGAAUGGCUGCUGCAGUACAUGUUCCCAAGACGAUGCAUGAGUAUUCCUGUACCCCAGCUCCUCCAUGUAACCCAGCUGUCUAGUACUUGGUAGCCUAAUGGGUGUGAAGGGAUCUUAUUGUGUUGCUUGCAUUUGACUUUGAACACUUUCUGACGACAGCAAUUUGAGUAUCCCUCACUUUUCUUCUGGGGUUCCCAUCUGUCUUAUUUCAAAGGAAUUCUUAGAGAAUUCCUUAUUGGCUUCAGAUAUGACACCUUAAUCUAUCUGAGCUUUAUUCACAGUAUCUUCCAUUGAACAGAAGCUUCAUUUUGAUACCGCUCAAGUCUGAUUUUAGGGUCUGUACUAUUAGGGUCUGAUGAAGCUGUCUCCUAUCUUCAGGUCAUAUCAUUUGUGUUCUCUAUUCUCUUCAUUUUGCAGAAAUAACUCUGGCUAAGAAGCUUUCCUGAAAAGAUUAGGAAUAUACAAUGUGAUGAUAUCCAGUUAUAUUUUUCUUCUGGAGAAGCUGGCUUCCCUAUACAAGUUUGUCUUUCACCAUUGAUUCAUGGUAGCUCUUUCAUCACUAUUAAUGCCUGUGUACACUUGGGCCUUGCUGCUUUGGUCCAUUUGUCCUUGUGCAAAUACCACAGUAGCUCUAGCGUGACCCUAAACUGACAGGGCCGGUCCCCUUCAUUCAUACUGUGGUUGGUUUUGCUACUUAUGGCUUGUCUUCCUCGUGUGAAUUUUAGAGUAAGCUUGUGCUCUUAAAUUAAGCAAGAUCCAACCUCACCAAAAACAAAAAACUAAGGAUCUUGGAAUUAUUUUAAGUUUAUAAACUUCUCUAGGAGGAACUAAGUCUUAGUCUAUAUUCUAGGAACUGAUUUUACCUGGAUUGUCCUAUUAGAACCUUUUCUAAUUCCUGGGAACCGUAUAGGUAAGAACACUCCCUUUUACUGAUUUGCUAAUUCUACUAGAUCCUGAAUGGCUGGACUACUUAGAUCUUUGGAAAGUGCCUUUUCCUUCUUCACAUAUUAAUAUAGUAAGACACUUUGGGUAGAUUUUUCUGAAGUCCUAAGAUAAAAGCUACUUGAUCAUGGUAUAAUCCUAAAUACAAUGUUAGACUCAGCUCACUUCUAGCUUAGUUUUUUAUAUCCAUGUGUAUAAGCAAAAUGGGCCUAAGACACUACUUCUGGCUGGGAGUCGUGACUUCUGUAGUGGUGAAAGAAUCAUUCUGUCACAAAGCACUCUGCAAGCUCUCCCUUCUGGAAUGACUGGGGCACAACCGGGCCUGGAAGGAAUUUCUUCCAACUCCUCACACAAGCCCAGGAUGGACUUACCCAUCGUGGUGGUCUUCCUGUCAGCAGAGCUGAUAUGUACAAGUCGGGCUGAUUCCAGAGCACUUCCCCCCAGUGCCCCCAACACCCCUCCCACCUCAGGGGUUGUCUGGCAAAUAUCUUCUCCAGCAUCAUUUCCAGAGGAGUUUUUCAGGUUCAUACAAAUCAAGGGUCUGAACUUUUAUGCCCAUUUAAGAGCUUAGCGCCUAUUAUGUCUCUGGCUUUAGUCAAAUAAGAACAGAUUAUGCUUUUCUAGAUUCUUCUGUACUUACAACUUUUUUAGUAGUUUUAUUACAGCAGUAUAUUACUAGACAUGCAAAAACAUGUUCCUAUCACUAGAGAUCACUACUAUAAUGGCUUAGUACUUUUCAUAUAUAAAGAUAUCUGAAAUGACACCAAACUGCAGGUACUCUAACGCACUUAUGUCUUUCACAUCAAUGAGUGCUCGUUCAUAUUCUAGACUUUCCCACUGACCUCCUAAGUACCAUUUAUGGUUCAUCCAGUUCUCAAUCCAUUAACAUGCCUUAUAUCUGGCUAUAUCUAGUUGCAAUCUAGUUCUUUUAGAUCUUUGGAGCCAGGGAAAUAGUCCUGCAGAUGUCUUGCCUUCUAGAUUGGUUUCAAUGCUGCUUAGUGUUAUUGUCUAGCUUGUCCCUGUCUUAUAUCCUAAAGCCUAGAAUUAGCAUCUAAAUUCUUGAUGUAGUCUAGCUGAAAGUCUUGAAUGUGAAUCUGUUACAGAUAAUAAUGUUAGUGUUCUGUGUUGCAUUUAUGUUAGAUACUAAUGACAGUAUCUCUACUGGAUUAGAGGACCAAGAGCCUGAUCCCUCAGUUAAAUCAUCUCUACGCGAUUAGGAAGAAAUUUGAAGUGUUAUUCCAGCAUUGGACAAAUAUCCAGUGUCCAACCUCUGACAAACUAUCUAUACAAACUGAUGAUCCUUGCCUGAAUCUGGGGUGCUAUGCUUUUUAGAGACAGCUCUGGCCCCAGCUACCUCUGCAGAGGGUUUGAGAUACCUGCAGAAAGAGGCACAUCCUGGUUCUCCUGGGCAUUUACCAUAUUUCCUGCUUCUCCUGAAUGAACAGUAGCUAUUUCACGUAGUGAUCCAAGAGUAAGUGAAUCUGCUCAGACUACGUGUGAGCAGAGGCCUGGUGAUAAGGACCUAGUUGACUCACAGUAGCCUCUCUUAAUAGAGCUUCUCAGUGACUUUUAUGCUUAAAUUAUCGCUGAGAUUCCCAAGGGUGCUCUCCUAGGGAAGACAGCUGCUUUGGAACAGAUGGUUGCUUACAACUGACUGUGCUAGUAGACAUCCUCUAAACAUGGAGUCUCCAUGCCCUGUACUACUUUGUAUGUGGCAGGGAAUGGUAGGCCUGUGCCUCAGGUGAAUGACCGUAUGGGAAUUGCAGAUUUAUGAUCAUGCUCUGACUUGGGUCAAGUCAACUUUUUGAGGGUUUCGCAGAAUUUCACUCAGAUCCUCUGUGGCUCACAUCAGGCUGGUGCUCUGAUUACACCUGUGAAGCCUCUGCAGCUGGACCUCCUGACUGACUUCAGGUCCUGAUGCUUUGGGAAUGAGAACCUGUGUCACAGAAGCUGCUGAGAAGCGGAUGCUCCUAGUAAAUGACAUAGGCUGCAAAGCUCUGAGCUUUGCCUUGACAGUGACUUAUCCCUGUGUCAAAGGGAGGAACUUUCUCUUUGAUCUCUGUACAAAGCGAUUCCUGAAUGUUUCUGGCCCCCAAAUGCCUUCCUGUGCUGGUAUCUCUAGUAUUUAGUGAUGGGUAAAGCCUACCAUGUAUGGGAGGCUACUGUUGGCAUCCCUGCCUGGCCUUAGGGGGCUGUUCCCCAGGAGCUGUCUUUACCGAUUCUUCAGUGUGGUGGUAGUCCUGUUUCUUACAAGUCCAGCAGGUAAUGGGCCAAGAGAAUAAGGACCUUACUGUCGGUGAUCUUCAUGACCAUCUAUAUGCCUUCUCUAUUUCCCAGUCCCCAUGCAUCUGGUCACAUGACUGAUCUCCCCGCAACAUGUGAGUAAAGGCAAUGUUGCUUCUGGGUUGACUUGGCUUGAAUUGGAGUGGCUCUGCCUUCCCCAUGCUUCUGCCAUGCAGAAGUGACCCUGCCUGGAGGCCCCACCUAUUCUAGACAAUGCAGCUGAAGAUGAAACAUUCCUAGGCCUACACUAGGAAGAGCCUUGUGCAUACCGCCUUACCCCCUUGAUGUGAACAAAAACCUUUGCCACACUGCCUGGAUCUGAAUCUGUUAUGAUGGCACUGCUUACUAUUACCUGGACAGAUGCUUGUCCUCAUGGACUGGGAAGCUGUCUCCCUACUAACUUCAUCACUGCCCAUCUCCUUGCCUCAGCUGAGACGGAAUCAUUGCUGUUCCUGUGAUCUAUGACUAGUUGCUCCCUGCAGCUAUGACUUUGUGGCCCUUCUGUGCUUGGGGGUUGAUUGCCCCAGUGAGACAUGUCUCUUUUAUCCGGUCCUUCGAUCCAUGCUAGUUAGAAACUAGCUUAGAAACUAAGCUCUGAUGCUUAGUUUCUUUCUGGCCUUUGUUGAUGUUGGGCCCCAGAGAAUUACCUGUCAUAUUAACCUUGCUUCACCUCUGUUUCUGGAAAACACCACAGUCUUGUUUUCCUGGGUGCAUUCUUGGCUCUUAGGCCACCUUCAGAAAGAGUUUAAACAUCUUCAUCUACUUUGGUACAAACUAAAGACAGAAUACCACUGGUUUUUCCAUAGAUACCUUGAGCUAACAAAUAUUACUUUCCCAUACUUCUAAAGAUGAUAAAAUGUCAUCUUUAUCUGCUAAACACCAAAGUUAGAUCUUGGAUUAAAAAUUUUAAGGGAAAACACUUGAGAGUUCUGCCACAAGAAUAUUGAUAGAAAAGCACACUGUUUAAAAACCGAUACUCCAUCUGCUUGAUGUUCUGAUGUUGCUUCUAGCCUUCAUUUAGCGUAUGGGGACUUAGGCAUGAAUCUGGUUCUAUGGCACACAUGUAGACCUGGGGGGCUAUUCAGCCGGUCAGAGGAGCCCAAACAUUGCUCUUGGCCAUUUGAAUUGGUGCCUUGGCCUUAUCAGAUAUAAAGACCUGUACCAAUACCUCCUGACCUGCCACUGGCUCACUGCUGCUCAAGGUUCCUCCCUGGGGCCUGCCCAUAAGCUGGCCUGGGGCCUCUUCCUGCUCCAUGGAGAACUGGAACUCCACUGAUGGAGAAUGACCAAGGCUGGAUAACCGGGUCAACCAGCCCCUGACUAGAAGGUACCACAGAGCGUGUACUUUAUGCCCCAGAGACCAUCCUGUGGCCCAGGGCAGAACAGCCUUUAGAAAAGCAGGAGGCUGUGGUGGGAUUCCCAGGAUUACUGCCUGGAGCCUUGCUAUCGGGAGCCCCCAGCUGCCUGGGUGUGGGGGUCAGGGGCUGGGGAUACCCUGGGCUUGGAUCCUUGCCUUGCUUGUCCUACACCAGGUUUGGAGCCCUGCCCUGGCAUCUUCUCUCACCUUUCCUUUGAGUCUCCAUUCCUUAAACAGGGAGGGCAGGAAAGGACACAGGAGGCAGCACCUGGAGAUCUCUCCUUAUGCCCUGGCUCGCCGCCCUGCUCAGCAUGUAUGUGUAUGGGGGCUUAUCUUUGGGGAUCAUGGUCCUGGUCCCCCCUGGCCUCUUUCUUCUCCCAGCUGGGACUUCCUGACAUCCCCUAACUCGGGGUUAUCUCCAUGGGCAGCAGCAUGGAGGAAGGUGUUUGUGUGUCUUGACAGGUUGCUGCUUCACUUAGACUCUAACCUCUCCUGUUUGCUCAUGUCAGUAUUCAUCAGGACUGAUCUGGAUGUUCCUUGUACUGUUUUUGGAUGUCUAGGGACUAAACUGGCCUUGGACUACUAGGGUAUGGGGCUGUUGUGGCUGUGGACGAGACACUUCAGCGUGUUCUCUGAAAACUCAACACAGACAGGGCAAAUGUGGGUAAGACCCUGCAUUUGUCAUGGUCUCACUCCUGGUUACCUACAUGCAAACUUUCUUCCUGUUUUUGACAUCUCUUACCAUCCUGAACUUUGGGUUGGGACAUAGCUGAGCACUCUCCCCUCCCUGAUGGGGAGGCAGUUGUGUGACCGUAGCAGGGAAGGAUUAAUCCUUAGGGAAGCAUCCCUAGGCAGUGGCUCACCAGCCUUCUUUCUGGCAUCUGGCCUGUUCUGCCCCAUAUGUUGAGGUUCUUACCCCUGGAGUUAGUUGGGGUACAGUGGUGACCAGGGAAAACAUGCUGAGUUGAUGGGAUACCAGGAGUCCCCAUCACUCCCUGAGGGUGGCCCAAUCAACCAGGUAGGAUAUAUGGACAUGCUUAACACUGCAUGUAUAGUGAUGCUAGGCAAGCUGCCCAUAAAGACUCCUAUAACUGAGGCCACAGAUCACCUACGUAUAGAGGUUCUUAGACUAAGUCAAGGCAUAGCACUAUCAGAUGCAGAGAGAAACUAGGGGUGAUAUUGGAGAAGGAGCUUAUUUCAUUCUUUCCCAACUUAUAAGAUUCACCAGAAGAUAGGUUUAACUGCUCAAGUCCUUCACCAUGAGUCUCUUUGGAGAGACUAAGAUGUUCUGUGGCAACUCCAGAGGCUUGGAAGGCUUUGGAAGCUGAAGGUCCACUUGCUGGCACUUGUCCUGAGCUGGUCCAGACUUUGGGACUCCUCUUUGAGAUCCAAUGUCUGAUUUCAUGGGCAUCAAGUCAUGCCCAUAUAAAACAUACCAAUCUCAUGUCUAGACUAUCAUUCCUAUCAAGAAAUAAGGCUGAAAUUCACUAUGUCUGCAGGGACAAAGCAAGUUAUAGCCUUGCUGGGAGCACUGGUUCUCCUGAGUGGCAUAAAUCUUUCCUGUGAGAGUCAGCUGGUGCUGGGACCUUAGCAGCUCAAGUUUUCCAGCUGGGCUAUCCUGGGAGGACUGGGGCCAGAUACAGAGGGGGCUGGGUGUUGGCGAGGAAUCUGAGGGUGUCUUUAUCACAUUGUAUCAAGGGGAGAGAACAAACUGUCUUGCCUGUGUGGUAUCCCUGGGCCUCUUCAGUCUCAUACCUUCUCUUUUCUACCACCUCAAAGGGGAGUGGCCUUGGGGAUAUAAGAAAGAAAAGUGGCUGUAGGGAUGGGGUUGCUUAACAGGGCUACAUCAAGGUGGAAGCUGCUUUGCCUACAGCGUUCUAGACUAAUAUCCUAGGAAGCAAGCAUGAGAAGCCUAGAGGGUUCUAGGAAGAUGUUAACUUCUGUGGCCUUCCUUACCCUAGCCCUAGGAUGUGCUGAGAUAGAAACAAAUGACCCAGGCAGAGGGCCUCAGAUGGGUGUGGGCGACAAGCAGGAGGCAGUGUGGUAAGACACUGGAUCUCAAGGGAUCUGACUCUGGAUCCAGGCAGCAUUUCUGGGGAUGAUGGAAUCUGUUUAGACAGCAGAAAUUGGGGAAAGGAAAGAAAAGGGGAAAGGGGCCAGUAAACACCCAAUGGUUGGUGUAGAAGUUUGAAAGUCUCUAUAUGGACCUGAGGUCUAGCCUAACACAAAAUAAUGCAGAACUGUGACAUGGAACUAGCUUCAAAGGGCUUGAGCUCAGAGGGUUUUGUAGAGAAAACUAUGGGACAAUUGGGUUCAUCUAGGUUCUCACAUGGCCCUCCCAGCCCUGAGAACUGUUAGUGACAGACAUACUUCAAGCAUUAUAACAUCACAGUCUAGGAGAUGGCAAUAGGCUCCCAGGGCCAGACUGUCUAUGGAGAGAAGUCUUGGCGUAUCUCUCCUGGGUACUAUGGCCUCCCUAACUCUCUACCUCCUCACGGAGAGAUUUGUGCUACUGGGAAGCCGUGACUAUGCUCUCACUACAUCCUAGUAGCAUGGCUCUGGAGCUGGUCCUCUGUCCUGAGCAGAAGGUGGCUCUACAUGAGGCUGUCCAAGCUACCACUUGUUCCUGGCCUGACCACAUCCAAGACCAGGCAGAGCUCAAGUACAUAUAUCCUACAAAUACAGGGGUACCUUCUUUUCUCCAACUCAAGCCCCUUGAAAGGAUAAGAGGCCCUGUGGGGAGAAUAGGUAGGAGGCUGUAGGUUAGAGUCUGGAGAACCAACCCCCUGCAACAGCCAGGUCUGAGGGUAAAGGCUAGAAUGGUAGGUAGGGGGGAAGUGCUGCUGUCUUAGGCUAUCCCCAACUUGUGGGCAUUCUUCAGAGCCAUGCAAAGACCACUAGGUGGACUGAACUGGUCUGAAGCACUGGCAGCUAUGAGAUGUCACCCAAUGCAGAACUUUCCAGAUUCUUUGUAAAAGGUGUUGGUGUUUCAAGUCAACAGUAUGUGUUCCUUCUUGAACCGGAACUUGUGUUGGACCAAGCUGGAGUUGAAGCCAGACACUGCUGGGCUUGGAUGGGGGCCCCUGAUCUGUGUGUAGACCUCAGCAGAGGAUGACAGUGGCCAGUGGUGGCCCUGCAGCUGGGCAUCCUCACCUCAACACUGAACAGAAUACGUCAGCAGUAGAUUCCCCAACAGUCAUUGCUGUGGAGCAGCCAGGAGAUCUUCCCAGCAGGCAUGCAACUGACACAGGAGAAAACUAGCGAUCUUUCUUAUCUUUCUCUGGGAGCACCAGCCUUUCCCACAAGUGGCAUCUGAUUCUCCCCUUGGAGUCCAGGACACACAGGGAACCUAGAGAUCCACAUGACUGAGUAAGCAGAGCUCCAUUUAACUCUGAACCUGUCUGUCCAGGCUGGCCCAUGGGAUGGCUGGGGCUGUCUGGCCCUGGGAAGACAUGCUGAGAAGACCAAGCCACCUCUGCUCAAAGGACUUACAGCUCUUGUGUGGGGCUCAUCCCUAUACUACAUGACUUGGUUACUAUUCCUUCUGGGAAUCUUCAGUUGCCUCACAGACUAAACCUCUUGCUAAAACAAGACUUCAGCCUCAAGGCCCCUGGUUCAUACUCAUCAGAAAUGUCUUCUCACAUCUGCCUUAAAGACUCCCACAUUCUUGUUACAGUUCCUGGACAUCUAUUUAUUCAGAAGCAGGCACUGCCCCAUCACCCUGGUAGCAGUAGCCCUGCAGCACAGGCCUAUGUGUGGAAGCUGGCCUUCUCAUGGUGGUUAUGGCUUGGCAUAGGGACAUUCCCUUGGUGGCUCUGAGUGAAGGCACUCCCAAGCAUUUUCCUUGCAGACUGGAUUAUCUCUCCCUUAGCUGUGGUAGAAGAGACCUCAGGGCUUUCAUCCUACGUGAACAGCAUUGCAACUGGCAAAGGAACUCCUGUCUCAGCACAAGUGGAUCAAUAGGCAGAAGCCCAUGGCUAUUGUGCACCUCAACUCCCAGGAGCAGCUGACUAUAUGAAUGAUGGGAAGUCUUCCGAAACCUCCAUUAUGGUGCUACCUGGGAUCCACUGCUUUGGGAGGCUGGAGUACUGUCAGUAGAAGGGAUGGCAUGUGUUCUGAACCAAUGACUGCGAUAGUGUCUUCCUCAUAGCCAGACUGCUUGGACCCAGAUACUCAACAGUAGAAACAAGGUACCUCUCAAUGUAACAGCUAACGUCCUACUCCUAACUUGGCUUGCUCUCCUGGGUUUGUGGGUUCUGCUAGUUUUGGAAGCCUUAGUAACUUAGGGAGGAAUGCUUCUACCAAGGGAACACAACUUUAUCACUAAAGUAGAAGUGGGGACAGCCUCUGGUCACUUGCACCUGCCGCUUUGAACAGGCAAAGGAUGGUUACAGAGCUGGCUGGGGAGUUGGUGUCAAAGAUCACCCUCUGCAUAGUAGAGGCUGGGGAAGUAGUCCAGGGAAUCCCAGGCCAACCUCCUGCCACUCAGGGGUGGGUAAAUAGAUGACAGCCUAACCCUGGCCAUAAUACCAAGGGUAAACUUACAUCAGUAGAAAGACUUCGGAUCAUUCCAACACCUAAAUCAGCUGAAGCUGUAGAUUAAGGGAAAGGGAACAAAUAACCAUACCCUUGUAACUGCUCUAAUAAAAUGUCUCUCAUUUGUAUUUUCCUUAUGGUAA